rnacentral:rRNA from 1 species
UACGGGGGGCAAGCGUUGUUCGGAAUUACUGGGCGUAAAGGGCUCGUAGGCGGCCAACUAAGUCAGACGUGAAAUCCCUCGGCUUAACCGGGGAACUGCGUCUGAUACUGGAUGGCUUGAGAUUGGGAGAGGGAUGCGGAAUUCCAGGUGUAGCGGUGAAAUGCGUAGAUAUCAGGAGGAACACCGGUGGCGAAGGCGGAUCUCUGGGCCAUUACUGACGCUGAGGAGCGAAAGCGUGGGGAGCGAACAGG